rnacentral:rRNA from 2 species
GGGUUGUGAGGUUAAGCGACUAAGCGUACACGGUGGAUGCCCUGGCAGUCAGAGGCGAUGAAGGACGUGCUAAUCUGCGAAAAGCGUCGGUAAGGUGAUAUGAACCGUUAUAACCGGCGAUGUCCGAAUGGGGAAACCCAGUGCAAUUCGUUGCACUAUCGUUAACUGAAUACAUAGGUUAACGAGGCGAACCGGGGGAACUGAAACAUCUAAGUACCCCGAGGAAAAGAAAUCAACCGAGAUUCCCCCAGUAGCGGCGAGCGAACGGGGAGCAGCCCAGAGUCUGAAUCAGCUUGUGUGUUAGUGGAACGGUCUGGAAAGUCCGACGGUACAGGGUGAUAGUCCCGUACACCAAAAUGCACAGGUUGUGAACUCGAAGAGUAGGGCGGGACACGUGGUAUCCUGUCUGAAUAUGGGGGGACCAUCCUCCAAGGCUAAAUACUCCUGACUGACCGAUAGUGAACCAGUACCGUGAGGGAAAGGCGAAAAGAACCCCGGCGAGGGGAGUGAAAAAGAACCUGAAACCGUGUACGUACAAGCAGUGGGAGCACCUUCGGGUGUGACUGCGUACCUUUUGUAUAAUGGGUCAGCGACUUAUAUUCUGUAGCAAGGUUAACCGUAUAGGGGAGCCGCAGGGAAACCGAGUCUUAACUGGGCGUUAAGUUGCAGGGUAUAGACCCGAAACCCGGUGAUCUAGCCAUGGGCAGGUUGAAGGUUGGGUAACACUAACUGGAGGACCGAACCGACUAAUGUUGAAAAAUUAGCGGAUGACUUGUGGCUGGGGGUGAAAGGCCAAUCAAACCGGGAGAUAGCUGGUUCUCCCCGAAAGCUAUUUAGGUAGCGCCUCGUGAACUCAUCUUCGGGGGUAGAGCACUGUUUCGGCUAGGGGGUCAUCCCGACUUACCAACCCGAUGCAAACUACGAAUACCGAAGAAUGUUAUCACGGGAGACACACGGCGGGUGCUAACGUCCGUCGUGAAGAGGGAAACAACCCAGACCGCCAGCUAAGGUCCCAAAGUCAUGGUUAAGUGGGAAACGAUGUGGGAAGGCACAGACAGCCAGGAUGUUGGCUUAGAAGCAGCCAUCAUUUAAAGAAAGCGUAAUAGCUCACUGGUCGAGUCGGCCUGCGCGGAAGAUGUAACGGGGCUAAACCAUGCACCGAAGCUGCGGCAGCGACACUAUGUGUUGUUGGGUAGGGGAGCGUUCUGUAAGCCUGCGAAGGUGACCUGUGAGGGUUGCUGGAGGUAUCAGAAGUGCGAAUGCUGACAUAAGUAACGAUAAAGCGGGUGAAAAGCCCGCUCGCCGGAAGACCAAGGGUUCCUGUCCAACGUUAAUCGGGGCAGGGUGAGUCGACCCCUAAGGCGAGGCCGAAAGGCGUAGUCGAUGGGAAACAGGUUAAUAUUCCUGUACUUGGUGUUACUGCGAAGGGGGGACGGAGAAGGCUAUGUUAGCCGGGCGACGGUUGUCCCGGUUUAAGCAUGUAGGCUGGUUAUCCAGGCAAAUCCGGAUAAUCAAGGCUGAGGUGUGAUGACGAGGCACUACGGUGCUGAAGUAACAAAUGCCCUGCUUCCAGGAAAAGCCUCUAAGCAUCAGGUAACAUCAAAUCGUACCCCAAACCGACACAGGUGGUCAGGUAGAGAAUACCAAGGCGCUUGAGAGAACUCGGGUGAAGGAACUAGGCAAAAUGGUGCCGUAACUUCGGGAGAAGGCACGCUGGUGUGUAGGUGAAGCCCCUGCGGGUGGAGCUGAGACCAGUCGAAGAUACCAGCUGGCUGCAACUGUUUAUUAAAAACACAGCACUGUGCAAACACGAAAGUGGACGUAUACGGUGUGACGCCUGCCCGGUGCCGGAAGGUUAAUUGAUGGGGUUAUCCGUAAGGAGAAGCUCUUGAUCGAAGCCCCGGUAAACGGCGGCCGUAACUAUAACGGUCCUAAGGUAGCGAAAUUCCUUGUCGGGUAAGUUCCGACCUGCACGAAUGGCGUAAUGAUGGCCAGGCUGUCUCCACCCGAGACUCAGUGAAAUUGAACUCGCUGUGAAGAUGCAGUGUACCCGCGGCAAGACGGAAAGACCCCGUGAACCUUUACUAUAGCUUGACACUGAACAUUGAGCCUUGAUGUGUAGGAUAGGUGGGAGGCUUUGAAGCGUGGACGCCAGUCUGCGUGGAGCCAACCUUGAAAUACCACCCUUUAAUGUUUGAUGUUCUAACGUUGGCCCCUGACCGGGGUUGCGGACAGUGUCUGGUGGGUAGUUUGACUGGGGCGGUCUCCUCCCAAAGCGUAACGGAGGAGCACGAAGGUUAGCUAAUCCUGGUCGGACAUCAGGAGGUUAGUGCAAUGGCAUAAGCUAGCUUGACUGCGAGCGUGACGGCGCGAGCAGGUGCGAAAGCAGGUCAUAGUGAUCCGGUGGUUCUGAAUGGAAGGGCCAUCGCUCAACGGAUAAAAGGUACUCCGGGGAUAACAGGCUGAUACCGCCCAAGAGUUCAUAUCGACGGCGGUGUUUGGCACCUCGAUGUCGGCUCAUCACAUCCUGGGGCUGAAGUAGGUCCCAAGGGUAUGGCUGUUCGCCAUUUAAAGUGGUACGCGAGCUGGGUUUAGAACGUCGUGAGACAGUUCGGUCCCUAUCUGCCGUGGGCGCUGGAGAAUUGAGGGGGGCUGCUCCUAGUACGAGAGGACCGGAGUGGACGCAUCACUGGUGUUCGGGUUGUCAUGCCAAUGGCACUGCCCGGUAGCUAAAUGCGGAAGAGAUAAGUGCUGAAAGCAUCUAAGCACGAAACUUGCCCCGAGAUGAGUUCUCCCUGAGACUUUAAGUCUCCUGAAGGAACGUUGAAGACGACGACGUUGAUAGGCCGGGUGUGUAAGCGCAGCGAUGCGUUGAGCUAACCGGUACUAAUGAACCGUGAGGCUUAACCUUACAACGCCGAAG